rnacentral:rRNA from 1 species
ACCGUCCCAGUUCGGAUCGCAGGCUGCAACCCGCCUGCGUGAAGUCGGAAUCGCUAGUAAUCGCGGAUCAGCAUGCCGCGGUGAAUACGUUCCCGGGCCUUGUACACACCGCCCGUCACACCAUGAGAGUCGGGAACACCCGAAGUCCGUAGCCUAACCGCAAGGAGGGCGCGGCCGAAGGUGGGUUCGAUAAUUGGGGUGAAGUCGUAACAAGGUACC